GUUAGGAAUAUUGGACAAUGGGCGCAAGCCUGAUCCAGCCAUGCCGCGUGAGUGAUGAAGGCCUUCGGGUUGUAAAGCUCUUUAGCCGAUGAUUAUAAUGACUGUAGUCGGAAAAUAAGCCCCGGCUAACUUCGUGCCAGCAGCCGCGGUAAUACGAAGGGGGCGAGCGUUAUUCGGAAUCACUGGGCGUAAAGCGUGCGUAGGCGGCUUUGCAAGUUGGGAGUGAAAGCCCAGGGCUCAACCCUGGAAUUGCUCUCAAAACUGCAAGGCUCGAAUUCGGGAGAGGAUAGCGGAAUUGUCAGUGUAGCAGUGAAAUGCGUAGAUAUUGACAGGAACACCAGUGGCGUAAGCGGCUAUCUGGACCGAUAUUGACGCUGAGGCACGAAAGCGUGGGGAUCAAAUAGGAUUAGAAACCCGGGUAGUCC
rnacentral:rRNA from 1 species